AGCAAGGCUAUGCUCACUGUGCACAGUCAAAGCUUUCCUUCAUUUUGGGUCAGUCACAGUGGUCAGGUAUUCUGCCACUGUGUGCUCUCUGUUUAGGGUCAGUCACAGUGGUCAGGUAUUCUGCCACUGUGUGCUCUCUGUUUAGGGUCAGUCACAGUGGUCAGGUAUUCUGCCACUGUGUGCUCUCUGUUUAGGGUCAGUCACAGUGGUCAGGUAUUCUGCCACUGUGUGCUCUCUGUUUAGGGUCAGUCACAGUGGUCAGGUAUUCUGCCACUGUGUGCUCUCUGUUUAGGGUCAGUCACAGUGGUCAGGUAUUCUGCCACUGUGUGCUCUCUGUUUAGGGUCAGUCACAGUGGUCAGGUAUUCUGCCACUGUGUGCUCUCUGUUUAGGGUCAGUCACAGUGGUCAGGUAUUCUGCCACUGUGUGCUCUCUGUUUAGGGUCAGUCACAGUGGUCAGGUAUUCUGCCACUGUGUGCUCUCUGUUUAGGGUCAGUCACAGUGGUCAGGUAUUCUGCCACUGUGUGCUCUCUGUUUAGGGUCAGUCACAGUGGUCAGGUAUUCUGCCACUGUGUGCUCUCUGUUUAGGGUCAGUCACAGUGGUCAGGUAUUCUGCCACUGUGUGCUCUCUGUUUAGGGACAAAUCGCAGUCUAGUUUGCUCUGUUUUAUUUGUUGAUUCUUUCCAAUGUUUCUAAUAAUUGUUUUUUUGUUUUCUCAUGAUUUGGUUGGUUCUAAUUGUGUUGCUGUCCUGGGGCUCUGUGGGGUAUGUUUGUGUUUGUGAACAGCUGGCUGAAGGGACUUUUUCCCAGGUUCUUUCUGUAAGUGAGGGCUUUGUUAUAGAAGGUUAGAGAAUCACUUAUUUUUAGGUGUUUGUAGAAUUUAACAGCUCUUUUCUGGAUUUUGAUAAUUAGCGGGAAUCGUCCUUAUUCUUUUCUACAUGCUUAUCUAUCACUCUCUCUGGUUUCUCUCUGUCUCUCCUUCUCUUUCUCUCUGUCUCUGUCUGGUUUCUCUCUGUCUCUCUCUCUCUCUGUCUCUCUGGUUUCUCUCUGUCUGGUUUCUCUCUUUCUCUCUCUCUCUGUCUGGUUUCUCUCUCUCUCUCUCUGUCUGGUUUCUCUGUCUCUCUCUCUCUCUGUCUGGUUUCUCUCUCUCUCUCUGUCUGGUUUCUCUGUCUCUCUCUCUCUCUGGUUUCUCUCUGUCUCUCUCCUCAUUUGAUCAGCCAAUUUGAGAUGCAGAGCCA